AGUUUAUGGUAUUUGGCCCGUGCUCCUCUUUUAGGUGCCCAGAGCACACCCGAGCUGGGGCUCUCCUCGAUCCGUCCGGGUACGGCGCCGGUGGCGGCGACCGGUCCUCUUCUCCGGCCAUCUGCCGCUCUCCUUCCCUUCCCCAUCCGCCCCUAAAAUUCUCUGGCAUCAACCCAGCCUCCUCAAUCUCUAGCCCAUAUCCAUGGAGUUCCAGACUUGGAUUUCAAAGGGAUUCGGCGCCUCGGGAGGAUGAACGCCAUGGCGGCUACACACACGCGGCGGCAGUGGAUUGAAGGAUGCGGCAGCAAAUCGGCGUGGCGACUCUAUCCGACCGAGUGUGGCGUAUGUGGUGCCUGUGUUGUGCUCCCGGCGGCCUAGCGUGUGUGCGUGCGGCUGGAUAUGCGUCUGUGUUCAUGUGUGUGGCGCUCUACAGGCAGAGGAAGUGGGUGGUUGCAGGCAGAGGAAGCUGCUAGCUAUUGGCAGAGGAGUAUUAAGAUUAGUAUGGCACGAUUAGGAUACUUCCCUUGAUUUCUAUAAGAAAAAUUGAUAGUUUCCUUGAUUUGUUUUGUUCUAGAUUAGUAGUAAAGCAGUGCACUGAUAUUUGUUUUGUGGCGCAGGAGCUUGAAGAUAUUAGGGGCAGCAGGCUUUACUGCAAUAUAUUCGUGUAUGAUUUUCUCCCCAAAUCUGAAAUUAUUCGCCACCUAAAGUUUAAUCCCCUUGAGAAAAUGAGAGUAUUUAUGUACCAUGCUCUAUGGAUGUUGACAAUUUUGAUUGCAGGGGCUGGCAAAGUAAGUGCAGUGCUUACCGUUGCAUAUAGAUAUUUAGGGCUACAUCAAACUUCAGUCAGUAGAACAUGAUUACCAGGCAGGGAGGUUCAUGCAGCAUUGGAAGUGAGGAUGUUUGGUGUAGAAUCGGUGCCGCCUCCACUCUACCCCGCCCCACUGCAUUGUCCUUGACGGCAAUACGGGCGACCUCGCUGCUUGCCUCGCGUGCAACCACUUCAUCCCCAACCUGUCGGAAGAGAACAUUGCAGACUGGGCGGAGAAACAAUGAGGUGUAGCAGCACAACCUUGCCUCUUUCCCUUACUCUCAUUUACAAGCGAGCCAAAGACACCCCAAGUGGUGGCACGAUGGCCCAUCGUGUAUGAAUGUGCUUCCAGACAAGCUUGCGGCGGCUCAGACCAGACUUGCUUGGCAUACAUGGCUGCAAUGCAUACAUGUGGCGGGAAACAGGCAGGGAGGCUUGGGACUGGAUAUGCAAUUAUGCCUUUGAAAAACGUGCAUCUCCGCAUCAGAAUUCUUUUGUGGUACGUUCUUCGUAAAGAUAUGCCUCAUGUGAAGUAUACCAUAUGCAGUUGAGGCUAUCGUGCUGAAGGGUAGGAAGAUGGAGGAGCGGAUUCUUUUAGCAAGCUGGUAACCUGUUGGUUUGUGAGUAAUCUUCUGUAUAUAUUAUUUAUAGGACUGUUGUUGUGGUGCUGACGACGACAACGAAGUGUGCACAUGUUUGGUAUGGAGAGAAAUUCAGAAGGACAGGGAGAACUCAUCUCUUCAGAACUAAA